ACCUACGGGAGGCAGCAGUGGGGCCUUUUGGGCCCUUGUCUCCCGCCUGCUCCAGCUAUUCCGCGUGUGGGAUGACGGCCCUCGGGUUGUAAACCACUUUAGUAGAGAACGAAAAGGAGCGAUCGAAUAAAUAGCUCUGCUGACGGUACUCUAAGAAUAAGCACCGGCUAACUACGUGCCAGCAGCCGCGGUAAUACGUAGGGUGCGAGCGUUAAUCGGAAUUACUGGGCGUAAAGGGUGUGCAGGCGGCUGAGUAAGACAGAUGUGAAAUCACCGGGCU
rnacentral:rRNA from 1 species